GACGGGAGGUGCAAGCGUUACUCGGAAUUACUGGGCGUAAAGCGUCCGCAGGUCUCUCACCACGUCUGGGGUAAAAGCACGCCGCUCAACGUCGUGUAUGUCCUGGAAACGAGUGAGAUAGAGUCACCCAGAGGCAUCUGGAAUGUCGUGUGUAGGGGUAAAAUCCGUUGAUCCACGAUGGAACGCCAAAAGCGAAGGCAGGAUGCUGGGGGUGUACUGACACUCAGGGACGAAAGCGUGGGGAGCAAACGGG
rnacentral:rRNA from 1 species